rnacentral:rRNA from 1 species
UACGAAGGGGGCGAGCGUUGUUCGGAAUUACUGGGCGUAAAGGGCGCGCAGGCGGCCCUUGAAGUCAGGCGUGAAAGCCCCGGGCUCAACCUGGGAGGUGCGCUUGAUACUCGAGGGCUUGAGUGCGGGAAAGGAGAGUGGAAUUCCCAGUGUAGAGGUGAAAUUCGUAGAUAUCGGGAAGAACACCCGUGGCGAAGGCGGCUCUCUGGAACGCAACUGACGCUGAGACGCGAAAGCGUGGGGAGCAAACAGG